rnacentral:tRNA from 1 species
GGCCAUGGCUCAGUUGGUAGAGUGCUUGUUUUGCAUGCACAAGGCCCUGGGUUCAAUCCCCAGUACCA